rnacentral:rRNA from 1 species
UGCGUAGGGGGCAAGCGUUGUCCGGAUUUAUUGGGCGUAAAGAGCGUGUAGGCGGCCAGGUAGGUCAGCUGUGAAAACUCGAGGCUCAACCUCGAGACGUCGGUUGAAACCACCUGGCUAGAGUCCGGAAGAGGAGAGUGGAAUUCCUGGUGUAGCGGUGAAAUGCGCAGAUAUCAGGAAGAACACCCGUGGCGAAGGCGGCUCUCUGGGACGGUACUGACGCUGAGACGCGAAAGCGUGGGGAGCGAACAGG